rnacentral:rRNA from 1 species
UGGGGAAUUUUCCGCAAUGGGGGAAAGCCUGACGGAGCAAUACCGCGUGAGGGAGGAAUGCCUUUGGGUUGUAAACCUCUUUUCUCAGGGAAGAAGAUCUGACGGUACCUGAGGAAUAAGUAUCGGCUAACUCCGUGCCAGCAGCCGCGGUAAUACGGAGGAUGCAAGCGUUACCCGGAAUCAUUGGGCGUAAAGCGUCCGCAGGUGGUUUCCAAAGUCUGCUGUUAAAGACUGGAGCUCAACUCCGGAACGGCGGUGGAAACUUGGAAACUAGAGUUCGGUAGGGGUAGCAGGAAUUCCCUGUGUAGCGGUGAAAUGCGUAGAUAUUGGGAAGAACAUCGGUGGCGAAGGCGUGCUACUGGACCGUAACUGACACUCAGGGACGAAAGCUAGGGGAGCGAAAGGGAUUAGAUACCCCUGUAGUCCUAGCUGUAAACGAUGGAAACUAGGUGUGGCUUGA